rnacentral:tRNA from 1 species
GGAGUAUAGCUCAGUGGUAAGGUGCAUCCUUAGCAUGUGUGAGGUCCUGGGUUCAAUCCCCAGUACCUCCA